rnacentral:rRNA from 1 species
AUGAACGCUAGCUACAGGCUUAACACAUGCAAGUCGAGGGGCAGCAUGGUCUUAGCUUGCUAAGGCCGAUGGCGACCGGCGCACGGGUGAGUAACACGUAUCCAACCUGCCGUCUACUCUUGGACAGCCUUCUGAAAGGAAGAUUAAUACAAGAUGGCAUCAUGAGUCCGCAUGUUCACAUGAUUAAAGGUAUUCCGGUAGACGAUGGGGAUGCGUUCCAUUAGAUAGUAGGCGGGGUAACGGCCCACCUAGUCUUCGAUGGAUAGGGGUUCUGAGAGGAAGGUCCCCCACAUUGGAACUGAGACACGGUCCAAACUCCUACGGGAGGCAGCAGUGAGGAAUAUUGGUCAAUGGGCGAGAGCCUGAACCAGCCAAGUAGCGUGAAGGAUGACUGCCCUAUGGGUUGUAAACUUCUUUUAUAAAGGAAUAAAGUCGGGUAUGGAUACCCGUUUGCAUGUACUUUAUGAAUAAGGAUCGGCUAACUCCGUGCCAGCAGCCGCGGUAAUACGGAGGAUCCGAGCGUUAUCCGGAUUUAUUGGGUUUAAAGGGAGCGUAGAUGGAUGUUUAAGUCAGUUGUGAAAGUUUGCGGCUCAACCGUAAAAUUGCAGUUGAUACUGGAUAUCUUGAGUGCAGUUGAGGCAGGCGGAAUUCGUGGUGUAGCGGUGAAAUGCUUAGAUAUCACGAAGAACUCCGAUUGCGAAGGCAGCCUGCUAAGCUGCAACUGACAUUGAGGCUCGAAAGUGUGGGUAUCAAACAGGAUUAGAUACCCUGGUAGUCCACACGGUAAACGAUGAAUACUCGCUGUUUGCGAUAUACUGCAAGCGGCCAAGCGAAAGCGUUAAGUAUUCUACCUGGGGAGUACGCCGGCAACGGUGAAACUCAAAGGAAUUGACGGGGGCCCGCACAAGCGGAGGAACAUGUGGUUUAAUUCGAUGAUACGCGAGGAACCUUACCCGGGCUUAAAUUGCAGAUGAAUUACGGUGAAAGCCGUAAGCCGCAAGGCAUCUGUGAAGGUGCUGCAUGGUUGUCGUCAGCUCGUGCCGUGAGGUGUCGGCUUAAGUGCCAUAACGAGCGCAACCCUUGUUGUCAGUUACUAACAGGUUCCGCUGAGGACUCUGACAAGACUGCCAUCGUAAGAUGUGAGGAAGGUGGGGAUGACGUCAAAUCAGCACGGCCCUUACGUCCGGGGCUACACACGUGUUACAAUGGGGGGUACAGAGGGCCGCUACCACGCGAGUGGAUGCCAAUCCCCAAAACCUCUCUCAGUUCGGACUGGAGUCUGCAACCCGACUCCACGAAGCUGGAUUCGCUAGUAAUCGCGCAUCAGCCACGGCGCGGUGAAUACGUUCCCGGGCCUUGUACACACCGCCCGUCAAGCCAUGGGAGCCGGGGGUACCUGAAGUGCGUAACCGCGAGGAGCGCCCUAGGGUAAAACUGGUGACUGGGGCU